GUGGCUCACUUCGGCAGCACAUACUCUAAAAUUGGAAUGAUACAGAGAUUAUUAUGGCCCCUGCACAAGGAUGACAUGCAACUCUGUGAAGCGUUCCAUAAAACA
rfam:Ailuropoda melanoleuca scaffold728_29, whole genome shotgun sequence.